CUAUAAGGCCACUAUUUGUUGUAUAUUAGUUUCUCAUCCCCGCCCGCAUGCUUUUUAAGAAAAUUGUCUUGUUUGCCAUUGUUGCCAUUAUUGCCAUUUUUGACCAUUAUUACAAAUUUUGUGAUGUCUUCAAAAUUAUAUUUGAAAGAAAGACAUGCAAUUAGAAACGUUCCCAAACCAAAAGUUUUAGUUAAGAUACGAAAUUUCAUACCAAUUGCAAAACUGCCAGUUUC